rnacentral:rRNA from 1 species
UAGGUAGGUGGCGCGCGUUAUCCGGAAUUACUGGGCGUAAAGCGUACGCAGGCGGCUUCUUAAGUCUGACGUGAAUGCUCCCGGCUUAACUGGGAGAGGUCGUUGGAGACUGGGGGGCUUGAGGCGAUGAGAGGGGUGUAGAAUUCCCGGUGUAGUGGUGGAAUGCGUAGAUAUCGGGAGGAAUACCAGUGGCGAAAGCGACACCCUGGCAUAGGCCUGACGCUCAUGUACGAAAGCGUGGGGAGCAAACGGG